UGUCGAUGAUGCAAGAUGUAUUUGCUACACUCGACUGUCGGGAUGACGACACUUACCACCAAGAUCGCUGAGACA
rfam:Ectocarpus siliculosus strain Ec 32, whole genome shotgun sequence assembly, unassigned sequences LGTn